rnacentral:rRNA from 1 species
AUUGAACGCUGGCGGCAUGCCUUACACAUGCAAGUCGAACGGCAGCACGGGAGCAAUCCUGGUGGCGAGUGGCGAACGGGUGAGUAAUAUAUCGGAACGUGCCCAGUAGUGGGGGAUAACUGCUCGAAAGAGCAGCUAAUACCGCAUACGACCUGAGGGGUAAAGGGGGGGAUCGCAAGACCUCUCGCUAUUGAAGCGGCCGAUAUCAGAUGAGCUAGUUGGGGGGGUAAAGGCCUACAAAGGCAACGAUCUGUAGUUGGUCUGAGAGGACGACCAGCCACACUGGGACUGAGACACGGCCCAGACUCCUACGGGAGGCAACAGUGGGGAAUUUUGGACAAUGGGCGCAAGCCUGAUCCAGCAAUGCCGCGUGCAGGAAGAAGGCCUUCGGGUUGUAAACUGCUUUUGUCAGGGAAGAAAUCCUCUAGGUUAAUACCCUUGGGGGGAUGACGGUACCUGAAGAAUAAGCACCGGCUAACUACGUGCCAGCCGCCGCCGUAAAAC